AUCACCAGAGCAAACAAAAAGGGGUUCAGAGCCGAUCCUUGAUGCAGACCCACCUCCACCUUGAACUCUUCUGUCACACCUACAGCACAUCUCACCAGGUCUUACAGCUCUCAUACAUGUCCUGCACCACUCUAACAUACUUCUCUGCCACUCCAGACUUCCUCAUACAACACCACAGCUCCUCUCUUGGCACCCUGUCGUACGCUUUCUCUAAAACUCUUUCUAGGCAUGAAACCAUAUUUCUGCUCACAAAUGCUCACCUCUGCCCUUAACCUAGCUUCCACUACUCUUUCCCACAGCUUCAUUGUCUGGCUCAUUAGCUUUAUACCUCUAUAUUUGCCACAGCUCUGCACAUCUCCCUUGUUCUUAAAAAUCGGCCCCAAUACACUUCUCCUCCAUUCCUCUGGAAUCCUCUCACUCUCCAAGAUCUUGUUAAACAAACUUGUCAAAAACUCUACUGCCAUCUCUCCUAAGCACUUCCAUACCUCCACAGGUAUGUCAUCAGGACCAACAGCCUUUCCACUCUUCAUCCUCUUCAACGCCCUUCUCACGUCACUUUUACUAAUAUUUGCUACUUCCUGUUUCACAACAGUCACGUCUUCUACUCUUUGUUCUCUUUCGUUUUCCUCCUUCAUCAACUCCUUAAAGUACUCCUUCCAUCUUCCCAUUACCCUCCUGGCAUCUGUCAGUACAUUUCCAUCUCUAUCUUUAAUCACUCUAACCUGCUGCACAUCCUUCCCAUCUCUAUCUCUCUGCCUCGCCAACCUGUACAAAUCCACCUCUCCCUUCUUACUGUCCAGCCCAGCAUACAAGUCCUUAUAUGCUCUUUGUUUGGUCUUUGCCACCUCUACCUUCACUUUACGCUGCAUCUCCCUGUACUCCUGUCUACUCUCUUCAGUCCUCUCAGUGUCCCACUUCUACUUAGCUAGCCUCUUUCCCUGUAUACGCUCCUGGACUACCUUAUUCCACCACCAAGUCUUCUUGUCCACUUUUCCCUUACCUGAUGAUACACCAAGUACCCCUCUACCUGUCUCCCUGAUCAAAUUGGCUGUAGUUGUCCAGUCAACUGAAAGCACCUCCUGACCACCCAUAGCCUGUCUCAAUUCAAUUCAAUUUUAUUUGUAUAGCGCUUUUAACAAUUGGCAUUGUCCCAAAGCAGCUUUACACAAUAAAAAGAAUUAUUUAAGUUUGUAUGGAAUUUAAAUGUGUAUGAAUCAAAAUGGUCAAAUAGUCCCUGGUGAGCAAGCCGAGGGCGACAGAGGCAAGGAAAAACUCCCUGAGAUGGUAGUAGGAAGAAACCUUGAGAGAAACCAGACCUGUCUCAACUCCUCCCUGAAGACUACACAACAUUCUUUCUUUCUCAGCUUCCACCACUUUGUCCUCUGCUCUGCCUUUGUCUUCUUCACCUUCUUCACCACCAAGGUUAUUUUACACACCACCAUUCUGUGUUGUCUGGCUACACUCUCCCCUACCAACACUUUGCAGUCACUGAUCUCUUUCAGAUCACAACGUCGACACAAGAUGUAGUCCACCUGAGUGCUUCUGCCUCCACUCUUAUAUGUCAUCCUAUGUUCCUGCCUCUUCUGGAAGAAAGUAUUUACUACUGCCAUUUCCAUCCUCUUUGCAACGUCCACCACCAUCUGUCCUUCUGCAUUCCUGUCCUGAAGACCAAACCUGCCCAUCACAUUUUCAUCACCUCUGUUCCCUUCCCCAACAUGUCCAUUGAAGUCUGCACCAAUCACCACUCUCUCACCUCUGGGGAUGCUCUGCAUCAUUUCAUCUAACUCACUCCAGAAUGUCUCCUUUUCUUCUAACUCACAUCCUACCUGUGGUGCAUAGCCACUAACAACAUUGAACAUCACCCCCUCAAUUUGCAGCUUCAUUCUGUAUAUUCUGUAUAAGUUCAUCACUUAAAUAGCCUAUUUAUCUAGACCAGGGGACCCCUGAUUUAGGGUUUUGGAGUGCCAUAUCCUGUUAUCCCUCACAUGUUACAUUUUGAGGUGGACCAACAUCAUGGAAUAUCUGCAAACAACAGUGGCGGAUUUAGCUCAAGGCGAACAUGGGUAUGGGCUCGUCUGCAUUCAGUGAUUUCUCAAAAGUCUUACCUUAAACUUCCCUUCACUCGUCACCCCACAGCAAUCUUAUCCAAAUGUCUAGAAUAGCUGUGUAGAAAAAAACAACAGCAAAACUUUAUCAGGUUAACUAAUGCACAAACAAUUUUCUAUAGUUAGAAUGUAACUCGUCGUCAGUUUACAUAUCUGAUACAGAUACCUUUGUUUUUCAAUAUGAUCAGCAGAUUAAUAGUUGAGGACUGGACUCAAUUGUCUUCUAUGCUGUUUUACUAAAGUAAGAAAACCCAUGACAGGUCAAUGGAGUGACAUAAAUAAUACCAAAGAAUACUUAUAAUGCUUGCCUUCCCGUCUUUGUCUUACUCUUCUUCACUCUGUUUGUCUGUCUUCUUUUUUCUGUCCCUUUAAUGCUUUUAAUUGUAUGUAUUUCUCCUGCCACUUGACUCCUUAUUUUUUCUCCUUUCCAUCCUUUUAAUGCAUUUUACUGUUUUUCUUUGUUAUCACUUUAUUUACUUUCCUCUUCUUUUGCAUUUUGUCUUUGCAUUGCUCCCCUUUUCCUUUAUUAAUUUCAUUUUGGAUCUCUCUCUCUCUUCUUUUUGCUUUUCCACCUCAAAUGUUUUGAGCAGAGAAAUGUCCUCCAAAAUUUCUUUCUCUUCUCCCCUUUUGGCACUGUAUUUCUUUCUCCCUUUUUCAAAAUAGCUUAGUCUUCCUUCACCAAAUGAGCUAUAGUGGGCGAAUAUAUAUAUAUAUGAAUAUUGGGGUGUUGGAUCAAGAAUAAUAUAAAACAAUAUUAAUUUAAAAUAUUUUAAAUAAUUUGUCACGUUGUGUGCAUGGCUCGGGUAAAUAGUGUAGGCCAAGACACUAAAAUCUGGCACACUUUGUUUUAUUCCUUACUCCAUAGCCACUGAUUUUCUGACUUUGUUCUUAAUGGAGAGAAGAGCAUGUGCGGACAUCCUCUCUUGUGACAUUGUUCACUUGUAACUCUGCAUAGGCAUAAAAAAUUUUGUUACCUUUGCCAAAGAUCCUAUUAAUUGUCUGUUCUCGUCCUGUUAUUUUCGUUUUUUCUGCACCACUUGUAACUUCGUUUCAUGGCUGUAGAUAAAGUCUCCCGUCCUCGAUUAAACUGCAGUGAAUAA